CCUACGGGUGGCAGCAGUGGGGAAUAUUGGACAAUGGGGGCAACCCUGAUCCAGCCAUGUCGCGUGUGUGAAGAAGGCCCUCGGGUUGUAAAGCACUUUCAGUGAGGAAGAACGCCUGGUGGUUAAUACCCAUCAGGAAAGACAUCACUCACAGAAGAAGCACCGGCUAACUCCGUGCCAGCAGCCGCGGUAAUACGGAGGGUGCGAGCGUUAAUCGGAAUUACUGGGCGUAAAGCGCGCGUAGGUGGCUUGAUAAGCCGGUUGUGAAAGCCCCGGGCUCAACCUGGGAACGGCAUCCGGAACUGUCAAGCUAGAGUGCAGGAGAGGAAGGUAGAAUUCCCGGUGUAGCGGAGAAAUGCGUAGAGAUCGGGAGGAAUACCAGUGGCGAAGGCGGCCUUCUGGACUGACACUGACACUGAGGUGCGAAAGCGUGGGGAGCAAACAGGAUUAGAUACCCCUGUAGUC
rnacentral:rRNA from 1 species